CCCCGUGUGGCUCAGCUGGUAGAGCAUGGUGUUUGCAACGCCAGGGUUGUGGGUUCGAUUCCCAAGGGGG
rnacentral:tRNA from 1 species